rnacentral:rRNA from 1 species
UACGGGGGGGGCAAGCGUUGUUCGGAAUUACUGGGCGUAAAGGGCUCGUAGGCGGCCAACUAAGUCAUACGUGAAAUCCCCCGGCUUAACCGGGGAACUGCGUCUGAUACUGGACGGCUUGAGUUCGGGAGAGGGAUGCGGAAUUCCAGGUGUAGCGGUGAAAUGCGUAGAUAUCUGGAGGAACACCGGUGGCGAAGGCGGCAUCCUGGACCGAUACUGACGCUGAGGAGCGAAAGCCAGGGGAGCAAACGGG